GUAUUUCAGAGAGGCUGUACCAGAAUUAACUCUGCUCAGAGUUAGAUUUGCUGGUCUUAAAGUACUUUUCCUCUUCAAGAUAAAAGAAGUUCUUCUAAAUCAGGAAUGGACUGAAAUCUAAUGAACCCAAACUUUGGGUAAGUUUUCCAAUGAAACUUUUGAAUUAAGUUAUUUUUUCCUAACUACAUAGCAAUACAUAGUCAUUGUAGAAAAUAGGAAAAGAAGAGGAAAAUAAUAGAAAAGUACCACUUAGAGGCAAAUAUUCCACAUUUUAUUGUAUUUCCUUCUGAUUAUUCUUCAAUAAUUUUUAAAAAUUGUGGUAAAAUACACAUAAUAAAAAAUGUACCAUCUGAACAAUUUUAAGUGCACAUUUCAAUGGUAUUAAGUACACUCACGUUGUUGCACUGCAAUAACUACCAUCCAUCCACAGAACUCUUUUUUAUCUCACAAAUUUGAAACUCUGCAUCCAGUAAACUAUAACUCCUAUUUCUCUCUUCCCCAGCCCCUGGUAAACACCAUUCUCCUUUCUGUGUCUAUCAAUGUGACUACUCUAGGUACUUCAUAUAAGUGAUAUCAUGCUGUAUUUGUCCUUCU
rnacentral:sRNA from 1 species